UGGCAACACCCGUCCGGAGCCACGGAACUUGAGAUCAUUGUCCUCCGGUGACCAUUAUUGUUGUUAUUAUUAUUAUUAAUGGAUGCAACAAAUCCCUGACUCAGAAGAAACACAGCAACUUCCACCCGCUCGGGAAAGGUCAUGCCCAGAGGCAGGAGCUGGAAAAGUCUAGCACUUUCCAGAAGGAAAAGAGAGAGAGUGGAGAGACAGGAGGGGAAAAAAAAAGGAGGAGGAAACAAAAUGAAGCAGAGGAAGGGAGGCAAGCAGUCCUGCAACGGACUUUAUGUGAAAACAAAAAAAGCUUCAGCACAUAACACGCGUGCCUCCUUGCAGAAAUACCGUCCGGGUGCUGCUCGUCAGGGGUGGCCCUCCCAGGUCCCAGGAAGACAACUCGUGUUUCUAGAGCCCCAAAUGGACUCAGAGCCUGGAGAGCAACCCGACAGGAUGUAGGAUGGAGUCAGCCAAGGCAGCGGAAGCCCCACAAGCAAAGCACAGAUGGAGAAAUGCCACGAGGAAGGAGAGAGAGGGAAACAGCAUCUGUCGGAAAGUCACGACCCAUAGAACGGACUGAUGACUCAAGAGGCCUCUGCCCGUAAGAUUCUGAUGGAGAGCAGGCAUAAAAUUCAUGAGAGUGAGACCGCCAUCAGCUCCUGUGAGCAACAGCUCUUCGAGGAAGUUUGGCUCCGAGGGGAGCAGAAAGCAGUCGGGCCACGGUUCCGAGCAGCUCCCAUCAGCCCUGGGCCAGGGCAGAGCGUGCGGACCAGACCUGUGGGUCAGACUCCUCCAUCCCCAGGAGGAGGACCCCCCCGGCACCGGAGGAGAGCUGCUGUGAGGAGCCCACGGCCCCCUGCACAGGCUCCCUCACCCCAGUAUAACUGGGCACAAAGUGGGUUUAUAGCUUCUUUAAAGAAGAGGAGCCAGAACAACAAGAGAGAAGCCAGGGGCAGUGAGGACGCUGCAAACCUCCAGCGAAGCCAUUUGAGACAGACAAGAUUUUAUCUGCGGAGCAUCUGUGGUUUGCAUAAAGGAGAUGAAAUUCCGACUCAGGAACACACAGAUCCAAGUUCUGCCUCCAACCUAUGGGGGCUUGAGCUUCCUUCCAGAACGAGAAUUAAAGACAUUUCCACGAGUUUAGCAGGACGCCUGGCAUGCAAUAAGCCCUCAGUUAAUGUUAGGUGUGAUUUUCAUCAACAGCAUUAUUAUUGAAUAUUACACAGAAUACUAUUACUGGGACUGUCUCAGCAGCGGAAAUGGCAGGGAAGGGGGAGAAAUGGACUGAUACAGCUGAAACAAAAUCUCGAUGACUCAGACCUAAGCGAGCCUGUAAAAGGCAUGUCCCAGUAGAGACAAAGAUAUAGAGAUCCACUGGAUGGACACCAAGUGGGGAGAGGAGGAUUGGGAGGAGUUGGGAGCUUGGGACCGACAUACAUUUUUAUAUUCACUACUGAUACCGUGUACAGUACAGGUAACAAACGUAUGGCGCAGGGAGCUCUUCAGCGCUCUGCUGAAGACCCGAAUGGGAAGGAAAUCCAGAAAGGAGGGGAUGGGGGCUUCCCGGUGGUCCAGUGGGGUUAAGACUUUGCCUUCCAAUGCAGGGUUGCAGGUCUGAUCGCCGGUCAGGGAGCCAAGAUCCCACACGCCUCGUGGCCAAAAUAACAGAUCAUAAAAUAGAAACAAUAUUGUAACGGAUUCAAUAAGAGACUUUAAACAUGGCCCAUGUCAAAAAAAUCUUUAAAAAAGAGGAGGAUAUAUAUACACACACACACGCACAUAUAUACACACACACAUACGUGGGCUGUUUCACUUUGCUGUAGGUAGAAACCAACACAACAUUGUAAAGCAAAUACACUCCAAUAAAAAUUCAUUUUAAAAAAUGAGAUGAAAAAGAAUGCAAGAAAAAAAAAUAAAUAAAAUCAGCGUUUCAUUAAAAAAGGAAAAAAAAAAGCACCUCCCACAGUAGAACUGAGACAUUGCAUGGUUACCAUCCAUCUCUUUCUCCCUACAACAGGGAUGGUGACCCGCAUGGCCUUCACUGCAGGAAAGCGGACGGUGAGGACCCAUGGGCUGGGGCGCUGGAGGGAAGGGCCCAGAGCGCGGCCACGUUUGGCCGUGACCACACGGAUGGCUCCCCUCCACUCCGACGUGACCCGUCCAUUUGACAGGCUCACUCUGCGGCUCCCCAUCCAAUUGCAGGCCUAAUAUUUACCCAGAGAAGGCAGUAUUUGUGUGCGUUGCCAUCAACAAUCCAGUAAGUAUGGAGACAGAACAGAGGCUGCUCGCUUAUGAGGCGUGAGGGCAAACACAGCCAGCUCUUUAAAGAGCCAUUGCUGAAAUCAAUACCCUCACCCAUCUCCAUGCAGGGGCCCUGGGCCAACCGAGAAACUUCAUUAUGUGCCAUCGUUACAUCCCUCAGAGAAGCUUAAAAAGAAAAGUUCGCUGUUUCCAAGUUUGUUCUCCUCCAUUUGCCAAACAGAUGGUU
rnacentral:lncRNA from 1 species